ACAUGAUUGUCUUGUUCCCGAUCUCAGUGUAAAAGCUUUCAUCCUUUGUCUUUGAAUAUAAUGUGGGUUUUUCCUAAAUGCCUUUUGUCAUUUUGAGGAACGUUUUUUUCUAUUCCCAGCUUGUUGAAUGUUUUUAUAUGAGCAGAUGUCGUAUUGUGUAAAAUCCCUUUUCUGCAUCAAUGGAGAUGACCAUGUGUUUGCCUGCUUCAUUUUAUUAAUGUGGUAUAUUACAUUGAUUGAUUUUUGUAUGUUCAAUUCAUUUGCAUCAUUUUAAAUCCUCAAUGUUUAUUUUAACUAUGGCUGUUUUUAUCAGUUGUAUGUAUUCUUUGAUUUAUUCCAUGCAGAUUCAAACUAAUGGUGUCUCACCAACACAUGGCAUGAGAACACCUGUAGCAAUCUGUUUGACAGUCAUUCACGAGCAACUUAGAAUUGCAAGAAAGAUGUCCUUGGCGUGUACACCCUGUGGAAUCUGGUUCAUCUUCAAUCUGUCAGAAGGCAUCAGAGGUGGUUUUGACUCCUUAUGUCUUGGACCUGUGCACAAAAAGUGUAAAAUGGAUGGAACAUCAGACAGCUCAUUAUAGAGACAAGUAAGCUCCAGUUCCAAAGUUGGUUGACAGAACAAGUCAUGACCUUGUGUGGAGGAAAAUGAGAUCCCGAGUGAAGUCUACAGUGUCAUUGACUCUGAAGAAGGACUCAGAGACCCAUUGGUGUUUAAUGACCCUUACUGGCCUAUGCAGUGGAAACUG
ensembl:lincRNA